rnacentral:rRNA from 1 species
AGAGUUUGAUCCUGGCUCAGGAUGAACGUUGGCGGCGUGGAUUAGGCAUGCAAGUCGAGCGAGAAGCUUUCAAAAGAUGCCUCGGUUGAUUUUGGAGGUGGACGGCGGUGAAAGGGAGAGUAACGAGUAGAUUACGUACCCGGGGGUUCGGGAUAACGGGGAGAAAUCGCCGGUAAUACCGAAUAAUGUUUCCGAACCAAAGAUUUAUCGCCCUCGGAGCGGUCUGCUUGCUAUUAGGUAGUUGGUGGGGUAAAGGCCCCCCAAGCCAAAGAUGGUUGGCGGGUGUGAGAGCAUGGCCCGUCUCACUGGGACUGGGACACUGCCCAGACACCUACGGGUGGCUGCAGUCGAGAAUCUUCCGCAAUGGACGAAAGUCAGACGGAGCGACGCCGCGUGCGGGAUGAAGGCCUUCGGGUUGUAAACCGCUGUCAUAGGGGAGGAAAUUUUGACCGAUCCUAAGAGGAAGCACAGGCUAAGUUCGUGCCAGCAGCCGCGGUAAU